GACGAACGCUGGCGGCGUGCUUAACACAUGCAAGUCGAACGCUGAAGACCUGGCUGUUGUUGGGUUGGAUGAGUGGCGAACGGGUGAGUAACACGUGAGUAACCUGCCCUCUUCUUUGGGAUAACGCCCGGAAACGGGUGCUAAUACUGGAUAUUCACUGAUCUUCGCAUGGGGGUUGGUGGAAAGGUUUGUUCUGGUGGGGGAUGGGCUCGCGGCCUAUCAGCUUGUUGGUGGGGUGAUGGCCUACCAAGGCUUUGACGGGUAGCCGGCCUGAGAGGGUGACCGGUCACAUUGGGACUGAGAUACGGCCCAGACUCCUACGGGAGGCAGCAGUGGGGAAUAUUGCACAAUGGGCGAAAGCCUGAUGCAGCGACGCCGCGUGAGGGAUGGAGGCCUUCGGGUUGUAAACCUCUUUCGCUCAUGGUCAAGCCGCAACUGUGGGUUGUGGUGAGGGUAGUGGGUAAAGAAGCGCCGGCUAACUACGUG
rnacentral:rRNA from 1 species